rnacentral:rRNA from 1 species
GACGAACGCUGGCGGCGUGCUUAACACAUGCAAGUCGAACGAAGAGCGAUGGAAGCUUGCUUCUAUCAAUCUUAGUGGCGAACGGGUGAGUAACGCGUAAUCAACCUGCCCUUCAGAGGGGGACAACAGUUGGAAACGACUGCUGAUACCGCAUACGAUCUAAUCUCGGCAUCGAGGAUAGAUGGAAGGUGGCCUCUACAUGUAAGCUAUCACUGAAGGAGGGGAUUGCGUCUGAUUAGCUAGUUGGAGGGGUAACGGCCCACCAAGGCGAUGAUCAGUAGCCGGUCUGAGAGGAGGAACGGCCACAUUGGGACUGAGACACGGCCCAGACUCCUACGGGAGGCAGCAGUGGGGAAUCUUCCGCAAUGGACGAAAGUCUGACGGAGCAACGCCGCGUGAGUGAUGACGGCCUUCGGGUUGUAAAGCUCUGUUAAUCGGGACGAAAGGCCUUCUUGCGAAUAGUGAGAAGGAUUGACGGUACCGGAAGAGAAAGCCACGGCUAACUACGUG